CGUGGCUUAGUGAUCAGAGCAUUGGUACUCAAAGCCAAAGGUCCCGCGUUCGAUUCCCGGCG
rnacentral:tRNA from 1 species